rnacentral:rRNA from 1 species
CGUGGGUAACCUGCCCAAGAGAUCGGGAUAACACCUGGAAACAGAUGCUAAUACCGGAUAAUAACAGAUGAUGCCUAUCAACUGUUUAAAAGAUGGUUCUGCUAUCACUCUUGGAUGGACCUGCGGUGCAUUAGCUAGUUGGUAGGGUAACGGCCUACCAAGGCGAUGAUGCAUAGCCUAGUUGAGAGACUGAUCGGCCACAUUGGGACUGAGACACGGCCCAAACUCCUACGGGAGGCAGCAGGG